AAACGAAUACGAAUAUCGCCGAAGAAUAUCUUUAAAGUACUCUGCAAUCGCAGUAUAUGGUAUAAAUUCGGCGCGCAAGUAAGAAACUUCUCAGAAAGACUUCAGUAACGCACUGACGAGUAACGCACCUUGCACAAAAAUGACUAGCAACAGGAAAACACUUAUGAGAAAAUUAAAAAGCUUAGCAGAAAAACAAAAUAAGUCUCUGAAAUUUAUGAAAUCAUUACACGCAAAAAUUCUUAGGCAGAAGAUGCAUGAAAAAAUUGCAGCAGAAGCGUUGAGGAAAGAGGAAGCGGUUAUUUCUAGCAGCACACAAAUUAAAAAUGCUUAUGUAGGCUUGACGAAACCAGUUGGACCAAAGAUGUACAUACUCGUCAUACCUUCUGCUCAAAUAUAAACGAGACUGGCUCAAACAACAAAAACGGUUAAUUAUUCUUCAAUAUUUAUUUUAUCCCCUUCAAAAUAGUCACCAUUAGAGGCGAUACACAUAUGCCACCUUUUUUUCCAAUCUUCCUAACACUUCUAAGCAAAAUACCUUAGAAAUAAAUUAUUGAAUAAUUUUCUACUGGAGACAUGCCAUCAAAAACGUUAACGGUGUUAAAAAUUUCGAGUUCCGAUUUAAAUCAUUUAUUCGGAAAUUGUGGCAAUUCUUUGGAUAAUAAUCUAUGCCAAAUUUCGUAAAGAUACCUUGCGAAAUGAAAAAAUUUUCAAUACAAGGACUUGAGUUUAGUCGGUCAGUUUGUAUGACAGCUAUAUGCUAUAGGUGUCAUAUAUAGGUGGUUCCGACAAAUGAACAUCUUCUUAGGGAAAAAAGGAUGUGUACAAAAAUUCAAAUCGAUAUCACAAAAACCGCGGGACUUGUUCGGGUAUACAUAUACUGACAUGCCGACGGGCGUGGCUUAAUCGACUCAGUUGAUCACGCUGAUCAUUUACACGUUUAUUAUCUAUACGUUAUAGGAUCUCUGAUGUUAACCGUCUUCGGAGUGUAUCUUUUAGGAAACUCUUUAAUAUCAGAGAUUAGAACAUCGUUGAAAAACAAAUUGUUUCUAUCAUUUUAAUUUUUUGAUAAGCUGGGACUUGUCGGGUGGUUGUUAUUAAUGUAUUGAGAAACUCCUUUGACUAAACUGCGACUAUUCAAAAGCGUUUUCGAAACUCUAUCGAAAAUGGAAGACCAACUUAAAUGGCAAAAGAUAUCCAGAAAUUAUCGGCUGCCAAAGUCAAACUUUCGGGAGCUUUCUCAUAUGAGUGGUUCCGUUUACUAUUUACCCUAUUAGAAACCUCUGAUUCACAGCAAUAUUCAUGCAUGUUAAAAGUUUUCAUAAAUAAAUAUCUAUAGUGUUGAUUUUCCUAGAGAUUUUUGCUGUCAACAAUGUCAUAGAAGAUUUCUACACUUUCGAGCAGUCGCACUUAAUUCACUCAAAAUGAAAAAUUGUGUUAGCAAAAUGCGGGCGUGUGUGCGGAAAUUUAUGCAAAUACGAGCAUAUUAUUUUGCUUAGAGUCAUAUACACACACAUAUGGUAUAUGCAUGUACGCUAAGAAAUAUACGGAUUUGUGGAGAUGAGAAUGCAUUUAAUAACGUUUUCCAGAACCUCCCUCAUCCACCUACUUGCACUUGCAGACGACUUUUGCUUGCAUACGAUAAAAAUGUUGAUUACGUUGACAUUCUGGCUAAGAGAGACAUUUAUUUGACUUUACUUUUUGGACGCGUCUGCGGCUUUAGCAGAUGAAGUGGAGGAUGAAGUCAUGCACAUAUUUUGAGUGCAGUUAGGUGACGCGUACUUAGCAAUACGGAAGAAGCAUACACUAGUGUAUAUGUAAGUUGAGUAAAUAAUGCAUUUGCCUGUGAUAAAGUGUGGCAUAAAAGUGGCAAAGUUUUAAUAUGUUUCUUGAAACUUAUUCUUCAUAUCAAAAUUACAAUUUUUAAGCAACACACCUGCAUACACAACUACUUUGAACUAACAAUAAAUAGUUUUUACACAAAAUUGUAUUAGAUCGGAUAAGUGACUAUAAUUUGAAAGAUUUUUAAAUGUUUUAAAUGCUUGUUUUAAGCUAUUGGAGAAAACUGUUUUGGAGUUUAUGGAAACUUUUGCCCCAUAAAUUUAUUUAUUUUAAAAAUUUUUAGUCUUUGUUAUAAAUCAAUCUACUAAGAUUGGAAAAAUCAUCGCAUAUGCUUUAAGGUUUAUUAAAAAAUGCUUCAGUAUAAUACUCAUUUAGGCAUUAAGAUAUCGUAUCUCUAAAAUUCCCCUCUUCUCUCCAAUUUGUGGUCUUAUUAGACAACCUUAAGGAAUAAAAUAAACAAACUGGUCUAAACUGGUCGAAAUUGAGUCAAUUAUACAUUGAAGGAUGGUUGGUUGGUUGAAAAGUAAGACGCAAGAGCGCUAGACCGCAGGCGAACGCACUUAAGCCAUCAUUAGGCCCAUUGUGUGUGUGAGUGGUAACCAAUUAAGCCUCAUCCAGAUUUGGUAAAAUACCUGACUUCUUUCUACUCCAGCUGCCCAAUGUCUCUUAAUUUGGAUAAUGGUUCAUUCCGGCGAAUCCACUUUGCAACUUUUUUAAAGAUGGGAACUUAGGGGUAGGUGACUCCUACUCUUGCCUAAAAGUAAACACUUUUUGGUCUAUACACCAUCAAACUACUCCAGUACCUUUGUGAUAUGCCCUGUGUUGUUAGUGUUACAAGAUCUGUGGUGUUCCUUGACCCUCAAAGGAGCUGAAUGGUCUAGAGCAGAUUAAGGAAAUUGUGUUCCUGACUAUCACCGAGUAGGCGAACUCGUCUGGCUUUACAUUUACUUAUGUUUCUAUACGACUGGCAUCAAGAUGAUUUUUACCAAAUUCCCUACUAAGAGUCUAGUUAUUGCCUCCUUGCAUAACAUAACGUAUUAACACUUAGUAUAGGCACUACGAACAACCUUAAUUGACGCUUGUCUAUUCACUAGAAGGUUUAUGGACUUGCGGGUUAGCGCAGAAGCUUCCACUUUCUGUUACGUCAACAAUUUCGGCUAAGACUAAUUUGUAUUAAUUUAAUCUUUUUAGUAAGGAUUACUACAGAAGAAGCGCGCUACUUUUUGAUCCGUCAGUAAAUAUAUAGGUUUCGCCGUUGGAACUGUUGAUCACAGAACCAUUGCUCCAUUUUUCUCUACCGAGGAAUGAAAACGUUGUGCUUAAUAAAUCACGGAUCUCCUUUUCUCGGUCGCAUGACCAACUAAACCCGAGUUUAUUAACAAGGUCGAUUAUAAUACCAUGCCCACAAUGACGCUGAGACUGGUUCUAAUGGCAUAAAGUCAUAAGUUCGCUGGUCGUAAGAUUUGCAUCACACUACACAUAAAUAUUUAUUGGCCGGAUAUCGAAAAUAACCUCCAGAACCUCUGUUCAUGUAAUUUUCAUUGCGGCGCUUUUCGAAAGUAUCCUACACCACCACCAAUAAAGGGUAGUUGUUAUAACGAAGCCUAAUUUACACAAGUAAUUAAUUAGUUUGAAGGUAUAUGGAUAAUUUUUGCAAUUUAAAUAAAUGUUGCAUAUUAAGUACUUAAUAUUUUUUUAUGAAAUAUAUUUUCUUACUGUUAUUUCUCCAUACAUCUCCACUGUAUAAGUUCAUACUCCUUUUUUCUCCACAUAUAAUCGCCAAUUAAAUUUCUCAAUUUAUUCAUUUUUUUAUCGAGUAGUUGUGCUUUCAGCAACUGGCAAGUGCAUUUCGGCAUUGUCGUGGUUCCAGUUGCUGCCAGUGAUAAAUGUUCACUUAAGUAGUAUUUAGUGUAAUUUCAGCUUGCAACUUGCUCGCCAGCUACGCCGUACUGCUCGUAUAACAAUGUAUAUAUGUAUAUACCCACACUUUAAGUAUACAUACAUUCAUCAGCAUAUAUACACAUAUUUUCUACGAAAACUCUUUAUGUUUCCUUACUCUUGUUGCAUUCAUACACACAUACAGCUAAAGGAACUACUGUAUCAUUGCUCCUGGUCUGUAGUAAUUUCGCUUACCUGAUUGGCCGAAUGGCAAUCGACUUAGCGGCCAAUUAUUUAUGACAUCCAAUUACAAUUUAAUUUUGUUAAAUCUCUCAUUUAUAAUGGAAGGAGUCCAUAGCUUAAAUCCAAAGGCAGUGGAGAUCGAUGCAAGCGUGUAGUUUAAGGGCUUGAAAACUGUUGCAUGGAUUGCAGGUUCGAGUUUCACGUGCGACAAAAUCUAAAUUGUAGAAAAGAUUUUAUCUUUAAAAAUGUUGAAAUAAAAAAAGUAAGUAAGACUAAAUUCGGUUGUAAACGAAAAUUUUAUACUCUAGCAAUUUUCAAAGAACAAAGCAAGUGGCAUUAUAUCAAGGACAGACUAGAAAUACCCUCUCUCUCUGAAUGUAAUUAAGAUCUUCUCUUCUUGGAAAUCGAAUAUUUUUCUUUAAGCGUAAUGAUUGAGUACGGCUUUGUAGAACCCAUAAUUACCUACAAAAAUCCCCCGACAGCAUAUGUCUAACUGUUAUGGCCAAUUUACAUAGACUUUUUUGGUUCAAUUUGCAUUAGACAUUUGUUUUGACAGAAAAGUUGGGCUUUAUGGUUGCGCCAGCCGCUCGGCUAGGCUGGAUAAUAAUAUGCGAUGUAGGCAUCAUUGGCGCACGGGAGUGGAAUCAAUGUCAAGAAAUAAAGUGCAGCGCGCCUGACUCGCCCAGUUAGCUCCCUAUGAAGCGGUCGUGUGCGAAAUUGUUCAAAUAAUUUUUUUAUAAACGAGAUUCCUUCAAUAAUUAUACGUUCGUUUCCGAACGCAUUACUAUCACUAGUUAGCUAAGUUUCUGCUAUAAAGGCGUUUUUUAACUCAGAAAACUAGCAGCAGAGAGCACAAGUCGAGAGCGGCAGAAGCUGAGAGAGCUUCUAGUUGGAAAGUUCGAAAUUUUUUAUAUAAGAUAUAUGCCGACUAGUGGAACUACUCAUCUGAUUGUACCCACUUCCAAUAUAAAUGCACAUUAUUAUUAAAAAAAUAUGUUUCUCUGAUUUUCAUUAAUAUGUCUCAAAAGCUGAAAGAUAUAUUCGGUUUGAAGUCAGAUAUAGAAACUGAGUUCCACACAUUUGGUAUCUGGGGGUUUGAAAUAUUUUUGUGUGAUAGGUGUUUGAUACACAUACCUAAGUGAACUAAUCAUAUUGAAUUUAAAAUUGUGAUGUAUCGAAAUUAGGACCAUAUGCUUACGAUGAAAGAACUUGUUCGACGAUUUUUAUUAACUUUUCUGAAAACAAGUAAAAGUGUUCAGUAGAAAAAAUAAAUAGUACUGAGAACACCAAUUUGGUAGGAAAUUUACUGCUCUACCUAAAUGAUCUCAUAUAAUUGUUCGAUUAAGUUAAGCGUUUACGAGAUAUUCAUCGUCCAACAUCAAUGCAUAUUAUACUUAUAAAUACAUAUAUUUCUUUCAUCUUUUUUUUAAAUUAUAAGAAAACGUUUUGUAGAGCAUUUAAUUUUCUACAAAAUCUAUGAAACGAGAUACUGUUUCAAGAAGUUGGAAGCGAGAUUUGAGGUUUUCUAUCUCAUAAUACAAUAAGACAAAAAAAGGAAGCUGUAAGGUGGAGAAUCUUCCCGUAAAAAUUAAGAGUUCCUAGUGGGAAAUAAUAAUAAAAAGUUUUUCAUAAACUGAGAAUUCUUACGCAUUACAGAGAGAUCACUAUACAAAAAAUUUAUGACAUUUUUUGGGUAACCCUAAAAUGAACAUUAUUGGCUUCACAAAGGAAUGUGUAGGUCAUAUCAGCCGCGAAGCUUUACAAUAUCGAUCGACAGGAUGGGACCGAACACAUGCAACGGAACUUGCCACCUUCUACGCCAAUGGACAAAACAUGGAUGGAUCAUUAUAUAUGUAUACGAGUCCAAUCGGCACAUGGAACAAGGUAAAACAAUUAUUACACAAUACUAUUACGUGUUAUUGGAUUGAUUGAACUUCGAGAUCAAACCUAGGUUGAAGUUUUUCAGUCAUUGUAGCAUCGGCGAUAUCUGAUAUUACAAAUUGACCAAAAACUAUAAUAGGAAAAUAAUUGUAUUUUCAACAAAAAUACAAUUCACUUUGAUACAAAUUUUAACUUAUUUUUUAAACCAUCGAAAAAUACUCUUCUCGCUAACAUUAAAACAAUUUACAAGUUUAUCUGCCUCGUCAUCACACGCAACGGCGCCACAAAUUCUUUAGCCGCUUAUCCCUUUAUACAAAUCGUCGGCGGGUUGCUUUGAACUAUUCCCCAACCGUUGAUUGUUAUAACCUAUGGCUAAAAAAUAGUAAUUAAGCCAACAACCAGUUCGAAGGCAAAAAUCUACCAUUUUCCUAUCGGCAACUGCCGGCUCAGCGAAAACCCACGCGGAAAAAGCGCGGCUUGGCAACUUGUGAAACCCGGCAAGCCAACGGAACCGAGUGCAUGUACGAGCACUACUUCUCGUGAUCGCAAUCGAUAUACAACAACUAAUGAUCUAAUAAAAUCGCUUACAACAGCGGCGAACAGAACUUGCAACGCACAUAGAAAUACCGAAAAAAAAAAUCAUAUAUACGCUGUAAAUAAAGAAAAUGAGCGCAAAUGAGAGAAAAAAGAUAAAAGAACUUAGUGAAGGAAGCGUUGCAGCUAUGCGAGCAACUUCCUUUUUGCGCUAGCAACAAGUUCAAAGUCACAAUCGGAAAAUCUCGCGCUACGCUGCCACAAGUGGCAUAAAUGUGCGAGUGAGCGGCGAACAAAUACAUUGAAGAAUUUACACAAUAAAUAUGGCAAAAUACAAAUAAUACAAAACUACAAUCUAGUUGCUUUUCAAUUGUAUUUUUUUUUUUGUAGCUGUCGUUGCAAUUGUUGGUUACUUCGGUAUAUAGACGAUUUAUCUGCGAUCUCAUAUCAUGUACUUUCGACAUUACAAUUGCGGUAAAUGCUUCUAGUUUUUAGUUUCAACGCGUUGGCCGCGCAGCUGCUACCGCCACCGCCGCAGCGGGAGCGGCAGUGCAACAUGCAACAGUGGCAACAGCAGCAGCCGCCACAAAUGAACUGUGCUGGUACGUAGCACGUCUGACUAUAAGCUUUAUCAAUAAGCAGUGAUCGUUGUCGGAGAAAUCACAAUAACAAUAACAACAACAACAGUCAGCAUACCGACAGCAGCAUUGUCGCAGCGCAACAACGGCGGUGGAAUCAGCGGUAGCAGCCGCAAACAACUUGCAACUGUUUCCCGAUUGCGCUCGAGACGCGUCUGCUGGUCUGCGUUGGAAGCUGCCGUGGAAGCUGCGCUACAAUCACAAUCGCGCUUUCGUUCCAUACAACAACAAUAGUAGUAGCAGGCAACAAUGACAGCGACGCGAAUGUAGAAAAUGUUGCUACUCUUCCUGUUUGUUUGUAUAUUGGCAUUGACGUUGUUGUUGUUGUUGUUGUUGCAGCAAUUGCUGCUGAUCUGCAUAUUGGCAAUAUUUACCGUGAUUUCAUCAUAUCGCGCGUUUCGUCUUUGCUCACUUUUUGCUCGCUACUCUUUGCGCAUAUUUUCGUAGCCUCUUCAAGCGAGCGCAGUCAAGUCGCACAGAUUUUUAUGUAACGAUUGCGGUGCAGCAAAUUUGUUAUUCUUGUGCUGCAAAUACAACUGAGUUGCAUUGAAUGCACCGAAUACGCAUUUGCGAUCGUUCAUUUUGAUUUCAUUCAUUGCAUUUCUCAUUGCUGUUGGGGCUUGGUGGCCAUUUUUCCGCCGGCAUCUCGUAUUUCCUUCAUUAUUAUUAAUGCAACACUGGCAACAAGUGCCAUUUGUAUCACAGCAAUUGGCGUAAUGCAGCACGAAAUAUGCACGUUGUUGUGAGCUGUAAUGUUGCGUUGAGUGGCAUCCGGAAUUACUCUCUCUUCGCUUCUUACAAGAUCUGCGAAUUUGUAUAUUGUCAGCGUGUUCUCUUGUAAUUCCAAAUAUAUGACUACAACGAAUCGCUGAUUUGAUCCUGCUAUGGCGUAUCGAAUGUCUUAUGUAAUAGCAAGCAUUAUGAGAAAUUAAAAAUUAAACUUUAUAUUUUUUUUUUUCAUAAACGCUGCCCGUAUUCGAUGUUGCUUAAUAACUAUCGAAUAUGAUAUGUUAUAUCUAUGAGAUUGCUCAGAAGCAAACAAUAUUUACAUUCAAACAAAUAUUUGUGCUGCCGAUUUUACUACUUCUCAAACCAUUUUCAGCUACAGUACCCGAAUUGGGAAGAGGAAACAUAUCAUAUUAUAUAAUAAGAAAGCAAGGAAGGAUGAAGGAAGUCAGGCUUGACAGUCACAAAUUGGAAUACUUGAGAUAGAUAUGACAUUAGCAUUGAAUAAUAAUUUUUGGUUGUUAAAAGAAAACCUA